rnacentral:sRNA from 1 species
ACGCGGACCCUCAGUCCUCAGGCAGGGAGAAAGAACCUCUGAAGUAAGCCCUCACCUCUGCAGGUGGGGCUCAGGCCCAGAGACUGGGAUCAGCUGGCUCAGGCAGCUCAGGUCCUGGUUCGUCCCCUAACCCAGGAGGAUGCUGUGGGAGCUGGAGCAGCAGCAAGAGGGAGAAUGGGGGGAAGCAGCACUAGAGAAGUUCCCAGAGCUCAUCCUGUCACUGGCUGCUCUGCUGAAAUUAUCAAUAAGAAAUGCCAGUUGGAUCUGUGACAUGUCUGCCCGCAGCUGGAUGGGAGCAACUGACAGCUUGUCCUCCGAAUGUGUUUUCUGGUGCUGGCUACUGUGAAAUAACAGAGUCCAAAAGCAAGGCGUCCAGAGUCAGAGCUCCUGGGUUUGAACCUUGUUCCACCAGCACACCCUACCUCUGUGGCCUGGUCCUUCAGCUCCUACUUAAUGGAAGCCUCGCAGAUGCAAGAUGGCUCCAGCAGGCCCAGCAUCACUUCUUCUCAGUGUCCCAAAGC